UACGAAGGGGGCUAGCGUUGUUCGGAAUUACUGGGCGUAAAGGGCGCGCAGGCGGUCGCUCAAGUCAGGGGUGAAAGCCUGUGGCUCAACCACAGAAUUGCCUUUGAUACUGUUUGGCUAGAGACCGGAAGAGGUAAGUGGAACUGCGAGUGUAGAGGUGAAAUUCGUAGAUAUUCGCAAGAACACCAGUGGCGAAGGCGGCUUACUGGUCCGGUUCUGACGCUGAGGCGCGAAAGCGUGGGGAGCAAACAGG
rnacentral:rRNA from 1 species